rnacentral:rRNA from 1 species
UACGUAGGGUGCAAGCGUUGUCCGGAAUUAUUGGGCGUAAAGAGCUCGUAGGCGGUUCGUCGCGUCGGCUGUGAAAUCCCGAGGCUCAACCUCGGGUCUGCAGUCGAUACGGGCGGACUGGAGUUCGGCAGGGGAGACUGGAAUUCCUGGUGUAGCGGUGAAAUGCGCAGAUAUCAGGAGGAACACCGGUGGCGAAGGCGGGUUGCUGGGCUGAUACUGACGCUGAGGCGCGAAAGCCAGGGGAGCAAACGGG